GCGGGCUGUGGCAGGCGGUGUGGCUGGAUCCGGUUGCGACCCGGGUGAUCGAGGACGGUCCGGGCCCGUACCCGGUGC
rnacentral:tRNA from 1 species